AAUCUUGGACAAUGGGGGCAACCCUGAUCCAGCCAUGCCGCGUGAGCGAUGAAGGCCUUAGGGUUGUAAAGCUCUUUCAGCUGGGAAGAUAAUGACGGUACCAGCAGAAGAAGCCCCGGCUAACUCCGUGCCAGCAGCCGCGGUAAUACGGAGGGGGCUAGCGUUGUUCGGAAUUACUGGGCGUAAAGCGCGCGUAGGCGGGCAUUUAAGUCGGGGGUGAAAUCCCGGGGCUCAACCCCGGAACUGCCUUCGAUACUGGGUGCCUGGAGGUCGAGAGAGGUGAGUGGAAUGGCGAGUGUAGAGGUGAAAUUCGUAGAUAUUCGCCGGAACACCAGUGGCGAAGGCGGCUCACUGGCUCGAACCUGACGCUGAGGUGCGAAAGCGUGGGGAGC
rnacentral:rRNA from 1 species